AGUGUAAUAGCUCAGUGGUAGAGGGUGUGCUUAGCGUGUACAGGUCCUGGGUUCAAUCCCCAGUACCUCCA
rnacentral:tRNA from 1 species